rnacentral:lncRNA from 10 species
CCCCUUGGUGCUGUUCUCAUGAUAAGAAUUCUCGUGAGAUCUGGUUGUUUAAAAAUGUGUGUCACUUCCCUCUCUCUCUUCCUCCUGCUCCCACCAUGUGAGACGCCUCACUCACCCUUUGCCUUCUGCCAUGACUGGAAGCUUUUCUGAGCGCUGCCCCCUACAAAACAGAAGCUGCCAUGCUUCCUGCACAGCCCACAGAACUGAAGAGGAAAAGAGACACAAAGACAGAUACACAAGGAGACCAUGAUGAGGCAGAAGCAAGAGAUCACAGUGAUGCUUCUAUGAGCCAAGAAAAUCUAAGAACUGCCAGCCAUCACCAGAAGCUAAAAGAGAAGCCUGAAACAAAUUCUGCCUCAGAGCCUCCAGGAGGAAUCAUCCCGGGAGACAUCUUGAUAUCAGAUUUCCAGCCUCCAAAACUGUGAGGCAACAAAUAAUCUGUCAUUUUAAGCCACCAGUUUGUAGUCACUUGUUCCAGCAGCCCUAGGAAGCUAACACACAGUCAGCCUCCAUUUUUUGAUGUUUGACCACACACAGGUUUGAACCCUCACGUCUCCGUUUUCCUCCUACUCUGUACCUGGGAAAGUUGAUAACCAUGUUGAGGUGCUCCCUCCUUUGGUGUCAGUGGGAAUUUCAAACUACCUAUGGGAACACUCACUCCUUCCCCAUCACUGACCUCAGUAAAAACCCCAGGCCCAACAACUUUGUCUGUUCUCUCAAACCAUUUUUGAACCCACUAAGGAGCCACCCUGUUCUCGCAAGAAAGCCUUGUUAUAUGAGCAAUAAACCUUUCUAUAUUGUC